CGGGGAGAGAGAGAGAGAACCGGAGGGUCGUUCGGAAGUGGGGGGGGAAAUAUUUUUGGGGGCGGGGGUCGCUCACCCGCUCACGGCCCCGGACUCACGCACGCGCGCUCACGCCCUGCUCCGGGAAGCCUCCCUCCGGCCUGCCGGGCCAUGUGCGAAAGAGCGAGAGCCUCGCGAGACCGGGCGGAACCAACGCGCCGUUCCGCUCUCUCAGAGAAAGGGGGGGGGAAGAACCUAGGGAGGUCCGCCCCCUCACAUGAUCCUCCCGCAUAGAGACACGGAAAGGAUUUAUAUCCCGGAGAUACACAUUUUUAAAGAGCUUUUCUCUCCCUGGGGCACUUGCUACGAUAACUCAGUGUUUUUGUUCAAAUUGCGUCUACCCCCCUCCCCGUACUGGAUCUCUCGCUGUGGUUCAGCCCAACAUGGCGGCCUUGGGCCGGACUUAAGAGACCUCCCUUCGGUGGGGGGGGAGGCUCUGGGAGGGACUUUUCCUUUGUUGGCGCGACUAACGUUCGGGAUAAUACGUUUCCUGAUGGAUAAAAGCCCCAAAAUGUUGGCCUGAUGUUGAAGCCAUGAGAUCUGCAUCGAGACUGAUUGAAGAUCUGAACUCAGAACCUCAGUCCUGCACCGCUGCUGUAACCAUUAUACUAUACUUUGCCACAGUGUUUUAAUUUAAGCUGAUUUUUUUAUUGAGAGCACAAACAUCGCACAAAGUGAUAAUUUUUUUUGCACCUUUGUGAGCAAAAUAUUCAUCCAUUUAAAUUUGCAUUUUGUAUUUGUUCUGCACAUCUAUGUAUAAAUAUUUUGGGCCAGGGCUGAAUUAAAAAAAAAAAUCAAAACAGUGUAUGGCAAAUAUUAGUUUUAAAGGUCGCCAGCAAAUGUGAUACAGUAAUCUGUUGGGAGCCAAACCAAACCAAUAUUAAAAUGCAUAAGUGUCAGGAUAAAUAUGAAUGUAGUUGAAACACUUCAGAACAGAAAUACCAAACAUGUUCUCUAUGGAAUCAGUUAAAAUUACAAACACAGUAUGAUGUGGAACUUUAUACCACCCAGCCUGGUGAUUAAAUUAGAUUUGAACAGCAUGAUAUGAAACCUGUUUGAAAAUUGCCGUCUGCCACUCGGAAGCUUUCCUCUGUAGUAUCCGUCAGCGUGAUCCUGUAAGUCAUAUGCUGUUCACAUGGACCUCAUUAUGAUAUAAUUUUGUCUUGGCCUUUGAAGAGUGUUGAAUAAUUUGUUCCCGCAAUGUUCAUCUCGGACAGGUUUUAUAUAGGAUUAUUAUUAUAGCAAACCUCCGCUCCCUGCUUUUUAAGCCUCUGGACAAGCUUUAUAUUAACAAGAAGUUCUCUUCAAGCUUCUUAUUUAAAAGGAACUGGAGUUUAAAGUUCAAUACGAGUGCAGUCUACGUACUUCGUAUCUUUGUAUGCCAGCACAAUAGGUAUUAUAUCACGAAGAGUUUUGUAGCAU
rnacentral:lncRNA from 1 species